UGUAGCCCAGUGGUAGAGUUCUUGCCUAGCAUGCAUGAGACCCUGGGUUCCAUCCCCAGCA
rnacentral:tRNA from 1 species